AGAAUAUAUAAUUCCUGCUAAUUGGAUCAUCCUGGCUUUUACACCAAAUCUUCAUAUGAACUCAGAAAUAUAUAAGGAUCCACUUACUUUCAAUCCAUGGCGCUGGAAAGAGCUUGACUCCUUCACUGUGUCCAAAAAUUUCAAGCCUUUUGGUGGAGGAUUGACACAAUGUCCAGGAGCUGAGUUAAGUAGAGCUUUCAUAGCCACCUUUCUUCAUGUUUUGGUCACAAAAUAUAGGUGGACAAAAAUCAAGGGAGGAAAAGUUGUUCGGAAUCCUAUUUUGGAAUUUAGUGAUAGAAUUCACAUCAAGAUUUGGGAGAACCGUGAGAAAACUUAAAGCU